GUGGAUCAGUGGCGAACGGGUGAGUAACACGUGAGUAACCUGCCCUCCACUCUGGGAUAAGCGCUGGAAACGGCGUCUAAUACUGGAUACGACCGACCCUCGCAUGGGGUGUUGGUGGAAAGAUUUAUCGGUGGUGGAUGGACUCGCGGCCUAUCAGCUUGUUGGUGGGGUAAUGGCCUACCAAGGCGACGACGGGUAGCCGGCCUGAGAGGGCGACCGGCCACACUGGGACUGAGACACGGCCCAGACUCCUACGGGAGGCAGCAGUGGGGAAUAUUGCACAAUGGGCGAAAGCCUGAUGCAGCGACGCCGCGUGAGGGAUGACGGCCUUCGGGUUGUAAACCUCUUUCAGCAGGGAAGAAGCUUUUGUGACGGUACCUGCAGAAGAAGCACCGGCUAACUACGUGCCAGCAGCCGCGGUAAUACGUAGGGUGCGAGCGUUGUCCGGAAUUAUUGGGCGUAAAGAGCUUGUAGGCGGUUUGUCGCGUCUGCUGUGAAAAUUCAGGGCUUAACCCUGGACGUGCAGUGGGUACGGGCAGACUAGAGUGUGGUAGGGGAGACUGGAAUUCCUGGUGUAGCGGUGGAAUGCGCAGAUAUCAGGAGGAACACCGAUGGCGAAGGCAGGUCUCUGGGCCAUUACUGACGCUGAGAAGCGAAAGCAUGGGGAGCGAACAGGAUUAGAUACCCUGGUAGUCCAUGCCGUAAACGUUGGGCGCUAGGCGUGGGUCUCAUUCCACGARAUCCGUGUCGCAGCUAACGCAUUAAGCGCCCCGCCUGGGGAGUACGGCCGCAAGGSUAAAACUCAAAGGAAWUGACGGGGGCCC
rnacentral:rRNA from 1 species